AUUGAACGCUGGCGGCAGGCCUAACACAUGCAAGUCGAACGGUAGCACAGAGAGCUUGCUCUCGGGUGACGAGUGGCGGACGGGUGAGUAAUGUCUGGGAAACUGCCUGAUGGAGGGGGAUAACUACUGGAAACGGUAGCUAAUACCGCAUAACGUCGCAAGACCAAAGAGGGGGACCUUCGGGCCUCUUGCCAUCAGAUGUGCCCAGAUGGGAUUAGCUAGUAGGUGGGGUAACGGCUCACCUAGGCGACGAUCCCUAGCUGGUCUGAGAGGAUGACCAGCCACACUGGAACUGAGACACGGUCCAGACUCCUACGGGAGGCAGCAGUGGGGAAUAUUGCACAAUGGGCGCAAGCCUGAUGCAGCCAUGCCGCGUGUAUGAUGAAGGCCUUCGGGUUGUAAAGUACUUUCAGCGGGGAGGAAGGCGGUAAGGUUAAUAACCUUGUCGAUUGACGUUACCCGCAGAAGAAGCACCGGCUAACUCCGUGCCAGCAGCCGCCGUAAAAC
rnacentral:rRNA from 1 species